ensembl:lncRNA
GCGGAGCAGUAAAUGCCAGCAAAGCACUGUCUGGGUGCUGCCAAGGUAGCAGAGUCAGGCUGCAUCUGGGGCAAGGGAGGCAGGGGCUCGCACUCCCCCCCCCCCCCUUCCCCAGCCCUUGGCUUUAGCUGUGCCAAGGCCGGGCUGCUCUAUCAUUACGAUAAGGGUAAUCCUGUUAGGCAAACACAUCAAACAAAUAGUCAUUCAUGAUUGCAGACUUUGUCUAGGCAAAUGUAACCCCAGGAUAAAAAUGUGCUGAGCGCACAGUCCUGUGGCAUGGAGACUGACCAGGGGCACGCCGGGGUCCCUUGUGCCCCAAGACCCUGAGCAGGGCUGACCGAGGCUCAGGGCAAAGCCUGGAAGUGCCCCAGAACCACCCCAGAAUGCCCUCGUCCUCCUUCCCCUUCACUUCUCGCACACAAGAGGACAGAUGACUCUUGUGUCAGGCUGUUUUGAUUCUAUAUUUAUGUCCUGCCUUAGGCUCACAAUGUUCAGCUCAGAUGCAAUCCAGUCUGGUCAUAUUAAUACAGCUGGGACAAUAUUUUUAACAAGCAGCAUCGAGCUGAAGGCCACAGCCAUUGGUGGACGCCAGGAGCCCAUGGACCCCGCUCCCUUACACAACAGAGCUCCCCAAAAAGCACCCAGCCUCUUUGGUCCUCUAAGGGACAGGCACGCUUUUAAGCUCCCCCUCCUGUAGCAAAUUGGGUUAAAUUCAAUCUCAGCUGUGGUUCUGUGCUGGUUUCAGAAAAGAUGAACGUGGCUCACUUAUCACAGAUGGCAAAAUCAAGGCUCAACAAGGAGUAGUCACUGACCCAGCCAAAAAGGACACCCAUGGCCUGUGAGCACACCUGAGGGCCUGAGAUUGCAGACAGACAAGGAGGACCAUCUCCUCCUCAGGCUGGCUUAAAAAGAAUGGGUUUCAAAGCCUAAAGUCUGGGUUCUGCCAAAGAACCCCCACCCAGCCAGGCUGACAUCUGGGAGCAGCCUGCCUUCAUGGCAUGGCCUUCACCCCAAGGCCAGAACAGGAGGCUUGGAGCUGUGCUCGGGUUCCCAAGUGUCUCUGCAUCCCAAGGAUGCAGGUUUUUAGAAGGGCGUCACAUCAGCUCAGUGGCAGCCAGGAAAUGAAGGUAAUAAGAGAAGGCUUGCUCACCCUGCUGCUCCCAUCGCAGAUUUUGUUUCACGUUGUGGGUCAGGAAGGAGCUGACCCCAUCCUACUGAAGAGAAAGCAACUUGGCCAGGGCUACGGGGCUUUGGGCUCUGUAGCAGUGAUUCACACCGAGCUGAGCCGGGAAGCAGAGGAGCACACAGGAGUGAGGAGGGGACUUAAGGCUGAGGGAGGGAGCCAUGGUUGAUACCUUUGGCAGGGGCUCCGGGUCAGCAGCGGGGCCACAUUGGCCUCAGCCAUGACACAAACACAGGCUGCCUGGAGGAGGACCAGCAGGAGGGAUGUUCUGUAGAGGGGAUGCUGCUGGGAGGGCAUCCAUACACCCGCAUUGCUGACAAAGCCUCCCCGGGCUUAAAGCAAACCCACAGCUCUGCCGCUCCAGCACUGCGGCCCGGGGGCCGUGUCCAAACGCCGCUGAACUUUGGUCCUCAGCCUGCUUGCAAUGCGGGAAACUGGUAAACGUUCAGCACCAGAUGAGCUCAGAAAGCCCGGCACCCCUAUGGUUCAGCCUGUCCAGAACUGAGGGAUGCAUUAAUCGCCCUUUCUUUAUCUCCUGCUCAAGAACAAUGCUAAACAUUAACUACGUUCAACACCGUCGUUCACACUGGCUAUUCUGAUACUGUCCUUAAUGACAGCCACAAUCAUGCCCAUUAAGUCACUGGCCAGUGUUCCUUGUGAAAACCGCAGGUAGCGCACAGUGCCCAUUGCAGAGCUUUCCCCUUUGUGCUGUGUGGGUCUGAGGGCAGCGAGCGGCCUCGUGCUGCCCACUGGAUGGAGGAAUCAUGGAAUCAUAGAAUGGCCUGGGUUGAAAAGGACCACAAUGAUCAUCCAGUUUCAACCCCCCUGCUAUGUGCAGGGUCACCAACCAGCAGACCAGGCUGCCCAGAGCCACAUCCAGCCUGGCCUUGAAUGCCUCCAGGGAUGGGGCAUCCACAGCCUCCUUGGGCAACCUGUUCAGUGUGUCACCACCCUGUGUGUGAAAAACUUCCUCCUCAUAUCCAACCUAAACCUCCCCUGUCUCAGUUUAAGACCAGACCAUUCCCCCUUGUCCUACCACUAACCACCCUCAUAAACAGCCGUUCCCCCUCCUGUUUGUACGCACCCUUCAAGAACUGGAAGGCCGCAAUGAGGUCUCCCUGGGGCCUUCUCUUCUCCAAAAUGGAAGGCUCGGUGUGCUGGAGGCGGACACGUCAGAGGGCCACGCAGUGCCGCGGUUGUGCUGACGGAGUAGUCCCCAUCAUGUGCCAAGGAACCUGCGAUAAGCCCUCUCAUAGCCAGAUAAGUAGUAAGAUCAGUUACUUAAUCCAAAGUGAUUAAACCCAGGCGGGACUGCAAACAAUCAAGCCACGUCUGCGGGUCCACACAUAACAUACGCACCAUCGUAACUCUGAAACCGUGCCGGGAUAUCAGGUUGUCACUGCAGGCUGCGUCAGGGCGCGCGUCGCACUUCUCCUCCGACGCAGAGCAGUCCCUGAAGGGGCCGCAGUGACCACGGGCAGGGCUGUGCUCUGCGCGGAUGCGUCGGGCACACCUGGGGACCGGGAGCCGCCCGCGAGGCCGCUCGUCCCGCAGCAGCAGACCCCG